CCUCAUCGUGCGUGGGCGAUUGGUGUGAUCGACAAGAACGGAAGGGGCGUGAUGUACGGGAGGUGGAGGUGGUGGUGCUGCAGCAGCUGCAGCCGGUUGAGGAGGAGGGGCUGGUGCCGCUGGCCAUUGCUGGUGGUAUGGGUGGAUUCCAGCACUUGCCAUGUCCUGCAGAUCCGUACUUCUUACGGACCAAACCCUAACAGCAGAGAAGGAGAAAGCGAGAAAGGUGUACGUAAAGAAAAAGAAAAUGAAACGGACGGGCUUGCUGUUAUGCCCACGCCUAUACGUUACAACCAUUUCAAUUAAAAAAAACAAAUAUAUAUACGUAUGUAUAUAUUUUAUUCUUCAUCACAUAAAUACAUGAUUCACCUCUCUAUUAUUCAUUUUUAUUCACAUGGACCUUUAUA
rnacentral:lncRNA from 1 species